UUUAUUGCCUGGGGAAACUGAGGCAGCCUCCUGAAUUUUCUCCCGAAUCCCACCCUUGCCCAUUUCCAGUCUGUGUCUCUCACUACAGCCAGAGGGAUUUUUAGAAAUGAACAGUUUAUUCAACAGAUUUCACUGAUCCUAGGAAAGACGUCAAAAUCAUAAGCACGGUGUGGAACUGGAUUACCACUCCCCCAUAUUCGGUGCCCUGUAUCGAAGUGCCCUGCUCGGUUGGAGGAUUAUACAGCACGGCCCAUGUUAUCCUCAGGCAUGGCAGAGGGGCUGCUGAACAGUGAAAACAGAUGUGAGCACACGCGUUAAGAACCAGGCUGAGGACCGGUGCUGGGUCUGAUGGGCUACUACGAGACAGGAAGACCAGCAACCCCCUGUCUUGGUCCUUCCAGGAGAAGCCUGUGUGGUCACUGACCUCUGUCGCCCUCCCCUCCCUGACAGGAACAGACAAACUUCCCCCUCUGGCCUGAGACACAGUAACUCCAAGCCACCUGUAGCAGCCUGGACCCCACCACAGAACUCUGCAGGUAGCCCUUCCAGAAAGCGCAGGCUGCCCAGAAUUCUUACAGCAGCGACCAUGUUCUUUUUAAAACUGACAGAACUUCCCAAGUUCGGAAGCUCCUAGGGGAUUAGCUGGUCACACAUCAAACCCAUCCGGGGAGCUUUGAAAAAUGAAGGUGCACGCGAACAGACAUUUCACCAAAGAAGAUACGCGGCUGGCAGGUAAACACACGUAACAAUAAUGGUCGACAACAUGGGCCAUCAGUGAGAUGCACCCCAAAACCACAGUGAGCUCUCGCCCCGUAGCUAUUAGAGUGGCUGAUGUAAAAAAAAAAAAAUAGUAGCAGCAUGAGACGCUGGCAGGGAUGCGGAGAAACCGGACCGCUGCUGCCUCGCUGUUGGGAAUGUAAGAUGGUCCAGCUGCUCCGGAAGACAGUUUGGCGGUUUCCUUUCAGAGUAAAUGCACGCUUCUCGUAUGACCUAGCUAUCGCACUCUUGGGCAUUCAUUCCAGAGAAAUGAAGACUUAUGGUCACACAACAUCCUGUAUCAGAAUGGUCAUCGUGGUUCUAUUCAGAACAGCCCCCAAACUGGAAGGUGCCCAGAUGCCCUUCGGGGGGCGAAUGGAUAUUAAACUGGUGCACCUGUGCCGUGGAGCACGUAUUCCGCAGCCGUCAAGAGGAAGGAAGUAAUGAUGAACUUCCAGGGACACUGAGUGAAACUCUACAAUUUCAUUUGUAUAGCAUUCCUGAAAGGGCAAAAUGGUGGAGCCGGGGGACAGAUUGGUGGCCUGGAGGGACUGCGGAGGACAGGUGGGCGUGGCUAUGGGGGGUAGCACCGGGAGCCUGGUGAUGGAACAGUUGUGUGAUUGAUCACGGCGGGGGACUACCGCAAGCGACCCGGGUGUAAAAUUACAGGGAGACCCACAUGCACGCACACGCAUGUCCUCGUCUGGUGAGUCAGAAUAACCUCGGCGGACUUACCUAUGUCAAUUUGCUGGUCUGGAUGGUGUCUGCAGUUGCACAAGGGGUUAUGGCUGGAGGAGGCUGGGGAUGGGGGUUCACGGGACCUCCCAGGACGUUGUAUUUUACAGCUUCCUGUGAAGCUAUGGUUUUUUCAAAGGAAAGAAUUAGAACAAAGCAAAGGUGCAGAAAGGCUCCCCCGGAGGCUAUAUGACUUAAUGGUCCGUCUUCCGGCCCAGGCAUCCGUACAUCAGUGUUUGUCAGAGGCUCCAUUCCUGCUGUACAGCCAGGAAUAGACACACUGACCACUUACUCAUUCAGCAGAGGGAAACUGAGGCCAGAGAGGGGAAGGGGUUUUCCCAGGGCCACAGAGCUGCUGCAGGGUGACUAAAGGGGAUGGCAUCCAGCUGCAAGCGGCCCA